rnacentral:lncRNA from 1 species
UGCGUACUACUGUCGAGUUAGGCUCCCAGCCACACUGUAGUCGCAUCCGCAACACCUUACACAGGUCACCAAGCUUGACCCUUUACCCACUACAGCUUCGUCUAUUCAGCCUCCCUACGUUCAUUUAGCAAUAAAAUUUGCAUAACAACCAUACGCGUUCACCCCGGCUCUCACGCCUCAUUCCAUUCAUCUCCCACAGUCGACAUCCUAGCAUUGGCCUUCCAGCCUCACCUCGGUUGUAUCCGCAACCCUAGCCUUGGCCGUCCUACCCAUCUCAGUCCCAUUCACCAGACCCAUCAUGGGCCAUCCUCCGCUUCGAUCACCUCCACGACCCCCACAUAGACUAUCCGGCUCACUUCGGUCACAUCCACGACAUCUCAGCACGGGGUGUCCAGUCAUUUCAAACAGGCAGCAUUUGUGACAUAUCCUCGGGAACUCAAGUUGGGUCUUUUGAGUCUGUUUCAGUCGCAUCCGUGACACUUCAGGCUGUGGCCUGCUGCCAGUUUAAGGCUCAUGUGCAGCGAGUCGGCGAUAUUCCAGUUACCUCCGCAUCCACCCAAAGUUCAUACAACUUGCGUCCAUCCGCUGGAGUAACUCACGUCAAGUCUCCACAAACCAGGAGCCCACGACGAACAAAGCGCAAAGGCAGCAGAACGGAGCCCUAAACCCUCACCCAGGCACUGAAACUCGAUCGAGGACCCCAAAGGCCCCGGGCCCUUGGACGGCCUCCUGCCACGCAUAGGAACACUUCCUAAAUGCCUCCCCCAGCCAACCCACCCGCAGUUCCUGGGCAAGUGGCCGGUGGUGUUACGAGUCUCGAACUCACCUGCAUGGGAAUUGUGGGAAUUAUAGUCGUCCACCAACGCGGCAACAAAGGCGAAAUUUGGUAACGCUUAUGUAUUGCAGGGUGACGUCCAGCGGAGAGUGGACGACGUCCGGUAUGAAAUUGUCACUGGCGGCAAGGUAUGAUUCGGAAGUUGCCGAGCUGCGGCUAAGAAAGAAGUGGAUAGCCUGAAUUCUUCGGGCUAUCCAGAUGUGGCCCGUUGGGCUCCUCGCUGCAUAGAUAAUACCUUAUUCCUCCGGUCGUUUCAUGUGGAGAAGUCUCAACUUACCGGAAUAGUGACAUCCUCAUAAGGGCCUUCGAGCCUAGCCUCGGUUGCAUGCAUAGCUUCCUCGCACGAGCGAUCCAGGCUCACCUCAGUCAAAUUUGAGGCCCCCCAGCAUGGUCCAUCUUCUCACUCUUUAAUGAGCUCUUUGACCUCCUACCGGACAUCCGCAUCAUCGCAGCCAGCACUGUCAAUCUGAGGAUAGACCAGUCAGUGCGCUCAGCGACCUGAACAAUGUGCAAACAUCGGCCCAUGCACUCUUAGUACAUUCAUCUCCGCAUGUGUCACCCGGCCCCUCACUACCAUCGCCUCGGCGACACCACGAAUCUGGGCCAUCGGGCCUCACUAAUGUUGACUCCUCAACACUGUGAACCUGGGCCAUCAGGCCUCGGUAAGGUUGACUCCUCGACACUGUGAACCUGGCCCAUCGGGCCUCGCUAAUGUUGACCCCUCGAUACUGUGAACCUGGAUCUUCCGGCUUCGGUAACAGGGACUGCCCGACCCCCGAACCUGGACCUUCAGGCCUCGCUAAUGUUGACUCCUCAACACUGUGAACCUGGGCCAUCAGUCUGCAUUAACAUCGACCCCACAACACCCCGAACCCGGGCCGUCAGGCCUCGCUAAUGUUGACUCCUCAACACUGAGAACCUGGGCCAUCAGGCUGCGCUAACAUCGACUCCACGACACGCAGAACCUGGGCCAUCAGGCCGUCCCACCGGCGACUCGCCGGCUAAGCUCACCGGCUAAGCUCCGCCUGCGUUCUCUCCGCAGGCCUCUCCACUCCGUCCGCAGCCGCCUCCGCUGCCGCCUCUUCCAUCAGAGGGUGAGCACCUUCACGGCUCCGGCCAACGGGCGGUCCUGCCCGCACAUCACCUGAGCCCACGUCCACGGUGACCCGCGAACUUCAGGAGGAAAUACCUUGCGGUCCCGGUCGUUCUCGCCUGAAACACGCGGGCCAAGCAUGGGAACAAAUGUCCUUAUAGCAUCCAGAGGUGCGCCUUAAGUAAGAUCCCCGAGGCACCUCUCGCACAUUAACUCCGAGACAAUCCUACCUCCGGGCCGUUAGGUCCCACUAAAUCAAUCUCGCAGCGGCCGCAUCUGGGCCCCUAGGCCCCGAUAACAAUGAUUCUGAGCUGCCCAAAUCCGGGCCAGGGUGCCCCAAUAACGAUAGUCCAACGCCAUCCUGGCUCCGCACCGCUACGCCAGGCCAGGUGGGACGGCCCCACUCACGUCAAUCUCGCAGCACCCGAUUUCCAGGCCCUCCGGCCUCAGUAACAUCCAUCUCACGAGGCCCGACCUUGGGCCAACAGAGUUCGUGAUGCCUCGAAGGUGGCUCCGAGGCCCAUCACUAACAUCGAUUCCACGACACCCCCGAUCUGGGUCAUCAGCCCUCUUGCCCGUCAUGCACGCAACGCUUCGGAAUCUGGGCCCUCAGGCUUCAAUAACAUCAACCCCUGACACCCCGGAUUUGGGCCAUCAGGCCCCACCGACGUAGACUGCACGAUGUCGACUGCACAACGUCGCCUGCACGAGACCCGAGGCCACCAAGCGUUCUGCAUGUCAAGUCCGCAACACCCCGAAUCCGGGGCCUAGGUCUCCAUAGUUCAGGGCCUCCGGGCCUCGCGACAACCCGAAUCAGGGCCAUCAGGGUGCCCUCUCG